rnacentral:rRNA from 1 species
CAUGGCCCUUACGAGUAGGGCUACACACGUGCUACAAUGGCGAGUACAGAGGGUUGCAAAGCCGCGAGGUGGAGCUAAUCUCACAAAGCUCGUCGUAGUCCGGACUGGAGUCUGCAACUCGACUCCAUGAAGUCGGAAUCGCUAGUAAUCGUGAAUCAGAAUGUCACGGUGAAUACGUUCCCGGGCCUUGUACACACCGCCCGUCACACCAUGGGAGUGGGCUGCAAAAGAAGUGGGUAGUUUAACCUUCGGGAGAACGCUCACCACUUUGUGGUUCAUGACUGGGGUGAAGUCGUAACAAGGAACCUUAAUUAAAAA